GCCAGGCGUGGUGGCGCAUCCCUGUAGUCCCAUAGUCCCAGCUACUCGGGAGGCUGAGAUGGGAGGAUCGCUUGAGCCCAGGAGUUCUGGGCUGUAGUGUGAUAUGCCAAUUGGGUGUCCGGGCAUCAAUAUGGUGACCUCCUGGGAGUGGGGGACCACCAGGUUGCCUAAAGAGGGGUGAACCGGCCCUGGUCAGAAAUGGAGCAGGUCAAAACUCCUGUGCUGAUCAAUAGUGGGGGCGUGCCUGUGAAUAGCCACUGCACUCCAGCCUGGGCAACAAGACGAGACUCUGUCA
rnacentral:SRP_RNA from 1 species